rnacentral:rRNA from 1 species
AGGGAAAGUUGACAAGCACUUUGAAAAGAGGGUGAAAAGAACCUGAAACCGCUACGGGGGAAGCGAAUUUGCGUUGAGAUUUGAGCGAGCUGUUCAGCAUAUUUAUAUGUGUAUUCAGUGGCUCACCAUUUGUUGUGGGUUUGUGGCAGUCGAAAAUGGGCUGCCGCGGGCUGAGGGCUCCCCUCUGGGCGAGGACGACAAUUUGACGCGAUUCGACCCGUCUUGAAACACGGACCAAGGAGUCUAGCGUAUGUGCGAGUCAAAGGGUGUGAAAACCUGAGGGCGCAGUGAAAGCGAAUUGUUUAUCUUUAAAAUGGUGCAAUUUGAGGCGGCAUACGAUCGUUGAUUGUAAGUCCGACCUAGAGCAUAUAUGCUAGGACCCGAAAGAUGGUGAACUAUGCUUGAGUAGGGUGAAGCCAGAGGAAACUCUGGUGGAGGCUCGUAGCGGUGCUGACGUGCAAAUCGCUCGUCAAACUUGAGUAUAGGGGCGAAAGACUAAUCGAACCAUCUAGUAGCUGGUUUCCUCCGAAGUUUCUCUCAG